rnacentral:lncRNA from 1 species
UCACAGGGCUUCAGACCUGUCCAGACUUUGUGAUGGUCACUGAAAACCAAAAUCUGGAGUUUUUAAACUUGUGAGUUGAGCUUAUGAUAAUGUGUUCGUCAGGAUAGAGACAUGGCUCAGUGUUUAAGAGCACUUGCUUUUUCAUAGGACCCAGGUUCAAUCCCCAGCACCCACAAGGCAGCUCACAGAGCAAGUACAGAGCCUGAUGGAAUGGCAAAGGAAGUACCAGUCUUUUGAGGGGUAAGACCCUCUUCUCUUCUUUCUGACUCCAUCGCCACUCAAGAUGUGACCAUUAAUCCUGGAUAUUUUGGGGCAUGUAAUCGUUUCCCUGGAGAAACAGCUACAGUCACACAGUAAGCAGUUGUGGAGAGUGGUAGGUCCUGUUUGCAAGCUAUAUCUGAUCAACAGAGUCUUAAAAUGGGGAUGCUAUGUCUGGUCAACAGACUUAAAAUAGGAAAAUCAUAUCUGAUCAACAGAGACGUAGAAAUAUCGAAGCUAUGUCUGAUAAGUAGAGACUUAAAAAUGGUCCUUGGAAAGGUGGUAUCAGGAAUUGAUAGGUGUAUAUCCAGAAAGGUUGCUUGGUAUAAUGAACAUGUCUCUGCAAUUAAAAAAGUAUUGUGACAGAAAGGUGUUAUUUGAUGGCUGGACUUAUACCCACAAAUGUUUUAUCUGUCUCUGCCCUUACAUAACUGUGCUUGCAAACUGCAUUGGCUACCAGUUGGGUAUAUGUGCUCAUGUCUACAGGACAUGCCUGGCUAGACAUUUAUUUUUAGCUUGUUGAAUUUGUGCUUUGUAGUGCAAAAUAAGAUUAGGGGUUAACUGACCCAGUGGGAGUGGGGAAGGAGGAAGGAAAACUAUUGGGGGAUUUUUGUAAUGGUGAAACUUUUAUAAUGCAGAUGCUAUGAUUUAAUAAAAUAAUCAAUGAUGUCAAUGGGCAGGUGAGCAGGCUUGUGAUUGUAUAAAGCCAUCUUGAGCUAUUCGGGGCCACUUGCUUGAAAGUCAACUGGUGGUCACUGCCUUCACUUUGCACCAUCUUCCUUGCACUUCCCUGUCUCAGGACCUGAACCUUGCAGCUGGAGCUGGUCUUCUGCCUUGUUGAGUCUCAGUGUGUAUCCCUGGCAGACCUUGAAUUCAGAGAUCUACCUGCCUCUUCCUCCCAAAGUGCUUGGACUAAUGGCAUGAACCUCUGAAGAUCUCUUUAAGAGUUAAUCUUGACACUCUCAUGGAUCCUAGAAAUUCUAGAGAAAAAUGUCAUAUCAACCAUAUACCAACCCCAAGAGGAGACACUGAUACAAAAU